UGUUGUGGUAAUGUUAUUUCAACCUGCUAGCUAGCAGAUAGAUGAUGCUAAUCUUAGCUGUGGUAAUGUCAUUUCUACCUGCUAGCGAGCUAAAUCUGGUUAAAACAUUAGGUAACAAAGUAAGAUUAAUUACUGCAGAUUAAUCACUGUAUUUGAGUGAUUGUUAAUGGUUAGUGGUUAUCUUUCAAAUGAUGCCUGUGAGGCACUUGACGUUGAGACUGGUUGACUUCCAGGCUGCUUUGGAAUAAGGAUACCUCUGAGGCAGCCACCUGUCUUUGGAUAACUCUGAGGCAUCAUAGGUAGUGUUGACUACUUUAUAUCAAUAAAUAACUACUUUAAAGACUUUAAAGACUACUUUAUAUCAAUAAAGAACUUCAGAAAGCCAGCUCCAAACUAUUACACCCCAGUGUCAAUAAGUGUUUCAUUGUCACAUUGGUAUGUGCAUCAAAUCUGAAUUUAAUACUGUGUUCGUGUCAUGAUAUGUCUUUCCCAUUUUUGUUAAGGCGAAGCCAAGGACCUGCUCCUCCGUCGGUGCUCUGGCUGCCAGGAGCAUCGAAUUUAAAGAAGUGGCCAUGCUGCCGGCAUCAGACCCCACUGUGGCCACAGGGAGAGCCACGGAGUUCAAACAACAGCUCCAGCACCUCGCCAACCAGGUGAGGUCAAAUGAUCAAUUUGACCUCCUCACGCACACCUUGGGGCCAGGAAUGGUAGAGGUGGUGGUGGAUAUUUUUAAAAAGUGUGUUGACACACACAUUGAAAAUAUUAACAAUUAGCAAUUUGUUGUUUGUUGUGUUCAUUAAUUAAAUAUCUUCAUGUUCUACA